AAGUCGUAACAAGGUUUCCGUAGGUGAACCUGCGGAAGGAUCAUUACAGAAAGUAAACGCGGAUCAAACCGCGAACUUCUAAACCUUUGACGAUUGACUCAUGUUGCCUCGGCGGGUGCUCCCGCCAGGGGAUACAUCAAAACUCCUGUUUUAACGGUGUUGUCUGAGCUACAAGCAACGAAUCAAAA
rnacentral:misc_RNA from 1 species